CGCGGAACACGCGCGCGUUAAUGAGGAAAACAAGAGUGCAAGCAAUUUCCAUGAAAGUUGAGAAAAGAUGUUGUUUUGCAACGCAAAUAUCUCGACUUCCUUGAUCAAAAGCCAACAAGAGUCAAGGGAUCAAAAUCCAAUUACAUUGGAGAACGAUUCAUUAGAGAAGAAAGGAUUGACAACGAGCAACCUGCGUCGAACAUGCAAUAUGAUCAUCGUCGUAUCAUUUGCGCAUCCCGGUGCAGCGCAAAAGGCGCGCAAAGUGCAGCGCAGAUAACUGUAUACACAAAUUCUAACUGUAAAUCCUGAGCGUUCCUGGAUGCAUAACAACUAAUUGCCGACAAUAUCUAGGUUGUUUUCUGACCAGCCAAGAUUUUACGAGCCGCAAGAGGUCGUAAAAUCGCAGCUGUUUACUUUACCAUUAGCGAAUUAUGACAAGAGAGAGAGAGAUGGUGUUAGUCAUAAAAAUGUUAAAUAUUUUAAAAUUCGCUCGG